GGGGAUGUAGCUCAGUGGUAGAGCGUCUGCUUUGCAUGCAUGAGGGCCUGGGUUCAAUCCCCGGCAUCUCCA